AGUGAACGCUGGCGGUAGGCCUAACACAUGCAAGUCGAACGGCAGCACAGUAAGAGCUUGCUCUUACGGGUGGCGAGUGGCGGACGGGUGAGGAAUACAUCGGAAUCUACUUUUUCGUGGGGGAUAACGUAGGGAAACUUACGCUAAUACCGCAUACGACCUACGGGUGAAAGCAGGGGAUCUUCGGACCUUGCGCGAUUGAAUGAGCCGAUGUCGGCUUAGCUAGUUGGCGGGGUAAAGGCCCACCAAGGCGACGAUCCGUAGCUGGUCUGAGAGGAUGAGCACCCAGACUGGCACUGAGACACGGUCCAGACUCCUACGGGAGGCAGCAGUGUGGAAUAUUGGACAAUGGGCGCAAGCCUGAUCCAGCCAUACCGCGUGGGUGAAGAAGGCCUUCGGGUUGUAAAGCCCUUUUGUUGGGAAAGAAAAGCAGCAGGUUAAUACCCCGCUGUUCUGACGGUACCCAAAGAAUAAGCACCGGCUAACUUCGUG
rnacentral:rRNA from 1 species